UACAGAGGUCUCAAGCGUUGUUCGGAUUCAUUGGGCGUAAAGGGUGCGUAGGUGGCAUGGUAAGUCGGAUGUGAAAUCCCGGGGCUCAACCCCGGAACUGCAUUCGAUACUGCUGCGCUAGAGUACUGGAGAGGAGAUUGGAAUUUACGGUGUAGCAGUGAAAUGCGUAGAUAUCGUAAGGAAGACCAGUGGCGGAAGGCGGAUCUCUGGACAGUUACUGACACUGAGGCAGCGAAGGCCAGGGGAGCAAACAGGAUUCAGA
rnacentral:rRNA from 1 species